rnacentral:tRNA from 1 species
AGAAAUUUAGGUUAACCACAAACCAAGGGCCUUCAAAGCCCUAAACAGGAAAAAUCCUCCUAAUUUCUG